rnacentral:rRNA from 1 species
GGGCCCGCACAAGCGGUGGAGCAUGUGGUUUAAUUCGAUGCAACGCGAAGAACCUUACCAGGGCUUAAAUGCAGAGCGACAGAGGUGGAAACACCUCCUUCUUCGGACGGUCUGCAAGGUGCUGCAUGGUUGUCGUCAGCUCGUGCUGUGAAGUGUCGGGUUAAGUCCCAUAACGAGCGCAACCCCUAUUUCUAGUUGCCAGCGGUUCGGCCGGGGACUCUAGAGAAACUGCCAGCGUAAGCUGUGAGGAAGGUGGGGAUGACGUCAAAUCAUCACGGCCCUUACGUCCUGGGCCACACACGUGCUACAAUGGUAAGGACAGAGAGUUGCCAACCCGCGAGGGUGAGCA